rnacentral:rRNA from 1 species
CCUACGGGAGGCAGCAGUGAGGAAUAUUGGUCAAUGGACGAAAGUCUGAACCAGCCAAGUCGCGUGAAGGAUGACUGCCCUAUGGGUUGUAAACUGCUUUUAUAAAGGAAUAAAACGAGAUACGUGUAUCUGUUUGCAAGUAUUUUAUGAAUAAGGAUCGGCUAACUCCGUGCCAGCAGCCGCGGUAAUACGGAGGAUCCAAGCGUUAUCCGGAUUUAUUGGGUUUAAAGGGAGCGUAGAUGGGUUGUUAAGUUAGGUGUGAAAGCUUGAGGCUCAACCUUGGAAUUGCAUGUGAUACUGGUCGGCUAGAGUGUAGUUGCGGUAGGCGGAAUGCGUGGUGUAGCGGUGAAAUGCUUAGAGAUCACGAAGAACCCCGAUUGCGAAGGCAGCUUACUAAGCUGUGACUGACGUUGAGGCACGAAAGUGUGGGGAGCAAACAGGAUUAGAUACCCCAGUAGUC